GUGGGGAAUUUUGGACAAUGGGCGCAAGCCUGAUCCAGCAAUGCCGCGUGCAGGAAGAAGGCCUUCGGGUUGUAAACUGCUUUUGUACGGAACGAAAAGGCUCUGGUUAAUACCUGGGGCUCAUGACGGUACCGUAAGAAUAAGCACCGGCUAACUACGUGCCAGCAGCCGCGGUAAUACGUAGGGUGCAAGCGUUAAUCGGAAUUACUGGGCGUAAAGCGUGCGCAGGCGGUUUUGUAAGACAGACGUGAAAUCCCCGGGCUCAACCUGGGAAUGGCGCUUGUGACUGCAAAGCUGGAGUGCGGCAGAGGGGGAUGGAAUUCCGCGUGUAGCAGUGAAAUGCGUAGAUAUGCGGAGGAACACCGAUGGCGAAGGCAAUCCCCUGGGCCUGCACUGACGCUCAUGCACGAAAGCGUGGGGAGCAAACAGGAUUAGAAACCCUAGUAGUCC
rnacentral:rRNA from 1 species